rnacentral:tRNA from 1 species
GAUCGUGUGGCCCAAUGGAUAAGGCGUCGGACUUCUAAUGAAGAGUUGACAUCCGAAAAUUGCGGGUUCGAGUCCCGCCACGAUUA